rnacentral:rRNA from 1 species
GGUGGUGGUGCAUGGCCGUUCUUAGUUGGUGGAGUGAUUUGUCUGGUUAAUUCCGUUAACGGACGAGACCCCCGCCUGCUAAAUAGUUAUAUCAAUGCUUAGCAUUGGUAUUAGCUUCUUAGAGGGACUUUUGGUGACUAACCAAAGGAAGUUGGGGGCAAUAACAGGUCUGUGAUGCCCUUAGAUGUCCUGGGCCGCACGCGCGCUACACUGACACACGCAGCGAGUCUUCCUUGACCGAAAGGUCCGGGUAAUCUUGUAAAUGUGUGUCGUGAUAGGGAUAGAUUAUUGCAAUUAUUAAUCUUGAACGAGGAAUUCCUAGUAAAUGCAGGUCAUCAGCCUGCGUUGAUUACGUCCCUGCCCUUUGUACACACCGCCCGUCGCACCUACCGAUUGAAUGGUUCGGUGAAAAUUUUGGACUGUGACUCGGACGCCUUCGGGCGACUUUGUUGUGAAAAGUUAUCAAACCUCAUCGCUAGAGGAAGAGAAGUCGAGCAUCU